CCCUUAGAUGUUCUGGGCCGCACACGCGCUACACUGAAGGAGGCAGCGUGUACUCCUGGAUCGAAAGAUUUGGGUAACCCGCGAAUCUCCUUCGUGCUAGGGAUUGAGGUUUGCAAUUAUCCUUCAUGAACGAGGAAUUCCCAGUAAGUGCAAGUCAUAAGCUUGCGCUGACUACGUCCCUGCCCUUUGUACACACCGCCCGUCGCUACUACCGAUUGAAUGAUUUAGUGAGGACUUCGGACUGGGACCGAUGCGGCUUUCGGACUGCGUCGGUAUUCUGGAAAGAUGUCCAAACUGUAUCAUUUAGAGGAAGUAAAAGUCGUAACA
rnacentral:rRNA from 1 species